UAUUCUUCUUGGUCUUAUGGCUAAGAUUAAAUAUAAUAUUUGUUCUUGUCAGUUAAUAUUUGAUACGUUCCCUAUCAUAAAGUUAAAAUAUUAUUUGAUUUUUCGAACCGGCCGGAAUAAAU